GUAGCUUAAAUCGAUGUAUCACGAGACUCGUGAGGAUCUCUUAAGCAGACUCACGUGUAGCCUUAAGGGACGGAGUCUUACGACGGAAGAGAAGCUGCUGGACAGAAGAAUGUGGCGGAUAAAACAUACGAGGAUCGCAAGACAGUGGGAAGAAAUUCGAUGAGGCGAAGGAGCGGCUGACCGGAAGUACGUUACUCGCCGCGUGGGUCGAUACUGUUGGAACAUCGGUACAGUGCAAACAGCUUCGAUAACAAACGUGCCCACUCCCACAAGCUUGUUUGCAGUUAAGAACGGUGCGAGAGCUUACAGGGAGAUACCUGUUACCCCGUCGCUUAUUUUCCCUUGUUCCCAGAACUCCGGUCGAAAUUCGCGACAUAACUUUCCGGCUGGUUGAGCCUAAGUUAAACGCGCGUUAAUGCAGACGUCGCGUGGGAUUCUUUAAUCGUAAACUCGUUUACGAUAGGUUUGUGAGUGCGAGGCGUGUGCUGGAGUUUGCGUUGGCUAUUCUAUUCUGGUAAAAGCGUGUAUUACGAGCCGGCGUAAUUCUCAUGAUGUAGUUCGUUGUACGGUGAAAUCACCGGCCCGUAACACGGUCACGAAGCAACACGAGCGUUCUUGUAAUUAUUAACUCGUCAUUAAUUAGUAUGAAUUCAAUUAAAUGGCCAGAGCAACCGGCUAUUACCUGGCCAAUUACAGAAUCGAGUGAUUGAAAGACACAUCAACGAUUAGAUAAUCCUUAAAGCGAUCCAGAGCCACGCGCGAGCCACCGCACAGGACCGGUAAUAUUGUUCCACGAUAGAAAUCAACCACGCGUUACAAUCAUCGAAAGUAGAUUGCAAGAAGUAAUCGUAAUUGCGAUAUGACGUAACCAGAUAAUUUUUAUGUUUCAACCGUUUCCACGUUUCAAACUUUUCCAAGUUUGAUGCUUUGAACUUUGAUCUAUCGAUCGUACGAUGAUAUGACACGUUCGAUUUAUUAUUUGCGUCAUGAGCGAUAGAAAUUGAAACGUUCUUUCGCAACUUUCACCCGAACUGAACUGACAUUCAUGGAUCAGAACGUUUCAGUGAUAGCCAUUCCAUGCUCAAACGAAGAUCGUAGGCGAAAAACAUGUCACGAAUCGAGCGGUUCCCGUGGAACAUUUGCUAGCUGUGGUUGGUUGAAGAGUAACACGAUCUUCUGGAUCCAGUCGCUUUUAAUAUCUCUUGGGCUUGUUCACGAUUUUCGGAAGACAGCACUAACUCUCGUCGAGGAAUCAAACACUUUGGAAAUCGACUGUUACGUACAAGACAGAGAAGUUUAUAGUCACGAUUUAACUAUGAUCGCCGUCUUCGUGAUUCAUACGUAGUGUCAACUUCUCACAAUAGUCGUUUAUUCGUGUCAAUAUUUUCCGCUCAUAUACAUCGAAUAGAGUAUAAUCUGUUUACAGUUUCGAAGAUCUUAGAUUUGAAAAACUGAUGAAGUAUCACUAGUAUAGAUAUUUGUAACCCGACGGAUUGUUCAUUCGUUAAUCUUUCUCGAUUAUCCACGGAAAAUGAUAAAUUAUUGAAAAACACAAUAAUCAACGGAUACAAGCAAGUAAGAAACAAUAACAAAGAAAAGCACGGGAAUAGGCGGACGAGGAUGACGCGUUGGACGCGAAAUUUGUUGAAAAAUAUUUUGACAAGUGUUUGACGUUCAAAUUCGCAAGGCAAACCGGACGAAGGCCUUCGCAACGUUUUGACUCGGAGCGUCGAGAAGAGACUGGCGAACGCCUUUCUGCCUCUGCCUGGGACAUCGCUGGGCAUCCCUUUCCACCAAUGACGAGGCUUCCUUACUGGUCUCACGGAGAGACUGUGAGUACCUUUACUCUUGAUAGGUUACCUUCGAGUUAACUCGAUAGGAUCGUAAACGUGCGCAUGCAUAUAAAUCACUCUUUCGAUCUUGGAAGUUGCAAGGAUUUUUGGACGAAUCUCGGUAACGGAGUCGGCCGAGAUCUGCCGUCGAGAAUCCAGGAAGUUUACGAGAAGUGGUCUCGAACCGAUUCUAUUUCGGAACGGAUCCCUUCUUGCCGUGUAAAUCUAUCUCAUUUAAAAUUCACUGUAUAAAUCUAUGCUAAUACAGAAAUACUUGUAUUCCUACUUAUCAAAAAUAUGCUAGGAAAAUAAAUACGUAUCUUCUAUAAAAUAAUUGUAACGUUCCUUUUCUGCUGUUCAAAAUUAAUUAUGUUUAAUAUAUUCGUAUCUGUAUUGUUUAAAUAGCAUUUGUAAUGCUUUUAACAUAAGUAAAAAAUUUUGAGCACAACUAAAUAGUUAUAUUUAAACUAUACUGUUAGUUGCUUUGUAUGAUCUUUUGUUUUAUAUGUAUAGCGUGGUUUUGUGGUUAUAGGAAAAACUUCUAAAAAAUUUAUAAUACAGUGAUGGGUGUAAAUAUAUCGCGGAUUUUGUAAUUGGAAUCGUUUCGGCACUUUGGUUAUAAGUGGGUUGCGAAUUUUUACGGAUUUACAGAAAAUUUGAAAAUAUAAAAAUGCACGGAAUACAGGUAAUAUGUAAAGUUGUAGUUUACUCAUAACUUUUAAUACUAUCUAGUUUAUAUUUGCAUUUUCUUAUAUCGCUGCUUGGCAUUGACAGUGGCACACACUCAAAAAAUGUAAAUUCUAGAAGGAAUGCUUUUAAAAAUUUGCAAAGAAAUCUUCGUACGUCAUUUCAAAGAUAUUAUAAGGCUGACUUAACACAAGAUAUGCCGAUAUUCGCGAAAGCGGUACAACCUUCCACUUUUCGCGUCACAAAAUAAAAACGAGCUAACAGUUGUUGUAAAACUAAGGCUUGGUUGACAGCGGCAUAACUACCUUUGACGCAAAGCUGCUAGAAUUAUAAGUAUGCCGUCUUACACGAUAAAAAUAAAAACAUAAUACAAGACUUGUAUUCGAUAACAGCAAAUUUGAAAUUUUUUGAGUUGUGACACUGUCGAUGCUAAGCAUCAAUACAGAAAUUCCUUCGUACAUAAAAGAAAUAGUCACCAAAGAUAUUCAAAUUUGAACAACGAUAUUGGAGCGCAUCGAGUGACCAAUAAGACGUUAGGUCGCAUGAGACGCAUCACAGAUGCGCCGCGGAUAUCGAUUCGCUGCGAUAUAUCGAUUGCGCGAAACAAUUAUUGCCAGUACAGCUGGACGCGUGAUACCUGAUACAGGUUAGAAGUGUACCGAAUCGAUUUAGAGAACGUAUUCCUUCUGCGUGUACCAUGGAAAAAAGCGGCGACUCUUUUCUUCACGGUGCGUUAUUGUCCACCAGCGAGUGCAAGAUCGAACGUCGAUAACUCAUUUCGAUGGCUAGGCGAGUGCCGCUGCGUCGUGAACGCAUAAUGCCGCGGUUCGCGCAGUCGAAAAAAGGUAAUUCAAGUUACACGAUCCUUUCGGCCUUGUAUCUGCGCGUUCGUUCGUUGAUCGCGCGUGACCCAUGGCGUCUUCCUCUUCGCGAUGGAACGCAAGACCUCUUAUCGAGAGUCUGAUCUCGAUCGUGUCGCGGUUUUCAAGGGAAUGACCAUUUAACCUUACCAAACUCGAGGAACCAGCCUUGACGCGACGUUGACGGGUCGGUUAAAGUUUCAAAGCGAUUCUCGUUUGUAGAUUUUCCCGCGAUUUCUCUUAUCUUACGUUUUAUCUACAAUGUCACUCUUUCUAGAAGGUACGAUCGUUUAACCUUACUAAAUCCGGAGGACAGGCAGCGCCACGAUGUCAACAUUCGAGUUGACGUUUUGCUUUGGUUAUCUCUUGCAAAUUUCACUCUGACGUGACAUAAGUUACAUUACGUGUAUUGUGUAUUGUUAUGGUUUGGCGAGGAUGGUCGUUUAACCUAAAAGAGCAAGGUGGAUUUCACGUAGUUUGAUAGGAAUGUCGAAGUUUCGAAAGAGUGAUAUUAUACAAGGUUUUUCUACGAAAGACGCUAUCGAUAAUGUAUUAUUCAACGUCUGCGAUUCUUGACCACGGGAACAAGGAAUUUCGAGGACCUACAUACAUGCACAGCGUUUGUUACCUGGUUGGCAUUGCGACGUGAAAUGUUUCACAGGUAUCGAAUCGCUGAUGCAAUUGGCCAUCGGUAAUACCUUGCUCGAGGGGAAUAUACGAGAAAUACAAAUGCUGUUGGUGGAAGGGGUACAGCAAGGAAAUCCCGUCUUUCGGUCGAGAAAAAUACAAUAACGGAUGACCACUCUUCGCAGCGUAUUCCAUCCGAAAUGCUUCUAGCCUUCCUCUUGUUGGCUGACAGACGAGAUAGCGCGACGGGAGCUAAAAUAUCCACGCGGGAUGCAAAUAAAGCCGACGUAGUCCGUCACAUGUCGAUUCGUCGCUUCGACACGUGCUCGUACCGCUAUUUAUCCGUAUCCGUGAUACGUAUCGCGCUAAUCGAAGAAUAUAUUUCACUGGGAACGAUGAAACGUUCUCGGGAUUCGAGAUCGCUGUAAUGGUUAAACAUCAAACUCGAACGUUAACCGGGAUUAUUGGAACAAUCGUAGCGUGGUCCGUUAACGACGGAGAUCUUUCUUGAUCAAAUACGACGGGGAUGGCGUGACACAAACAGACAAGUCAGUCACUAGGAGUACAUCGUGAAACGCGAAUCGUUCUAUUUACUCUACAGUUAAAGUUGCUUGAUAAAAAUAUACCAAACUAACAAAAAACAUAAAUAAAUCAAUCCAAAUAUUUAUUGUCCGAAUAUUUUUAGAAGUAAUUAUAAACACUGAGUACGUUCAACGAGUACUGUUAACAGAGAGUACAGUUAUAAGUAUUAAAACUAUAAGCUUUUCAUAAAUCAACAUUACGCUGCGUGUUUGUACCGCUGCUAAACGAGAUUGUUCGUUUUUGAACAACUAAAAAUCCCCGGGAAAAAUACAGGGAUAAUAAAAACAAACGAAAAACUAAACAUACAAAGAGAUAGGCAGUCUGAAUUUUUCCGUGUAUGUCGAACGAACAAACGAAUGUCGACAUGAAAAAAUCCAUGAGCUCACGGAUGAUUCGCUUUAAAGACCGAUUACCGAGUGCUCUUCGCUCGGAU